rnacentral:rRNA from 1 species
AUGCAAGUCGCACGAGAACGCUUCAGCUUGCUGGAGCUAGUAAAGUGGCGCACGGGUGAGUAACGCGUGGGUAAUCUACCUCCAAAUUGGGGAUAACAUUGCGAAAGCGAUGCUAAUACCGAAUAAUAUCUCAAAAACUUCGGCUUUUGAGAUCAAAGGUGGCCUCUCCAUGGAAGCUACUGUUAGGAGAUGAGCCCGCGUACCAUUAGCUUGUUGGUAGGGUAAUGGCCUACCAAGGCAACGAUGGUUAGCUGGUCUGAGAGGAUGAUCAGCCACACUGGAACUGACACACGGUCCAGACUCUUACGGGAGGCAGCAGUGAGGAAUUUUGCGCAAUGGGGGAAACCCUGACGCAGCAACGCCGCGUGAGUGAUGAAGGCUUUCGGGUCGUAAAGCUCUGUCAAGUGGGAAGAAUCUGCCCUGUGCUAAUAUCACCGGGCACUGACGGUACCACUGAAGGAAGCACCGGCUAACUCCGUG